CGAAAUAGCUUUAGGGCUAGCCUCAUGGAUCAUUGAUGGGGGUAGAGCACUGAAUGUGCGCGGGGGCCACAAAGCCUACCAAACGCUAUCAAACUUCGAAUACCAUACAAUGCAGACCAUGGGAGUCAGUCCGCGAGAGAUAAGUUCCGCGGGCAAAAGGGGAACACCCCAGAUCAACCGCUAAGGUCCCCAAGUUCACGUUAAGUGGAGAAGGAUGUGGAAUUGCACAGACAACCAGGAUGUUGGCUCAGAAGCAGCCACACAUUUAAAGAGUGCGUAAUAGCUCACUGGUCGAGUGAUUGUGCGCCGAAGAUGUCCGGGGCUAAACGUGACACCGAAGCGAUGGGUGCAUCUGAAAGGAUGCGCGGUAGAGGAGCAAUGUGCAGAGGCAGAAGCCGUAUCGAGAGGCACGGUGGACACUGCACAAGAGAGAAUGCCGGUAUGAGUAGCGAGAGGCAUGCGAGAAACAUGCCCGUCGAAAGCCCAAGGUUUCCUGGGGAAGGUUCAUCCGCCCAGGGUAAGUCGGGGCCUAAGCCGAGGACGGAAGUCGUAGGCGAUGGACAGCAGGUGUAGAUUCCUGCACUACCGAUGGAAUGAAGCAGUGACACAGAAGGAUAACUCGAGCAGGGUGAUGGUCAACCCUGUGCAAGCAUCAAGGUUGGGUUGUAGUGAAGUACGCAAUCCUAUAAGCUGAGAUGUGAUGCGGACCGAAAUUUCAGUAGGGAAGCGAGUGAGUUCACGCUGGCGAGAAAAGCUGCUAGUAUAUCCAAAGGUACCCGUACCGGAAACCGACGCAGGUGGGCGAGGAGAGAAUCCUGAGACGAACGGGAGAACCCUUGUUAAGGAACUCGGCAAAAUGACCCCGUAACUUCGGGAUAAGGGGUGCCUGCGAGAGCAGGCCGCAGAGAAUAGUCACAAGCGACUGUUUAGCAAAAACACAGGUAUCUGCGAAAGCGAGAGCUGACGUAUAGGUGCUGACACCUGCCCGGUGCUGGAAGGUUAAGGGAACAUGUUAGAGCAAUCGAAGCAUCGAACCGAAGCCCCAGUAAACGGCGGCCGUAACUAUAACGGUCCUAAGGUAGCGAAAUUCCUUGUCGGGUAAGUUCCGACCCGCACGAAUGGUGUAACGACUUGUGAGCUGUCUCAACAGGGGGCCCGGUGAAAUUGAAGUAUGGGUGAAGAUGCCCAUUACCCGCGACUGGACGGAAAGACCCCGUAGAGCUUUACUGCAGCCUGAUAUUGAGUUUCGGUAACUGAUGCACAGGAUAGGUGGGAGUCUGAGAGACACGGGUUUCGGCUCGUGUGGAGACGCUGUUGGGAUACCACUCUUCGGUUACUGAAAUUCUAACAUAGCUCUGUGAAACCAGAGGAUGGACAGUGUCAGGUGGACAGUUUGACUGGGGCGGUCGCCUCCGAAAGAGUAACGGAGGCGCCCAAAGGUACCCUCAGAAUGGAUGGAAACCAUUCGAAGAGCGCAAAGGCAGAAGGGUGCCUGACUGCGAGAUUGACAAAUCGAGCAGAGACGAAAGUCGGGCUUAGUGAUCCGGCGGUAUUGAGUGGAAAAGCCGUCGCUUAACGGAUAAAAGCUACCUCGGGGAUAACAGGCUGAUCUCCCCCAAGAGUCCACAUCGACGGGGAGGUUUGGCAC
rnacentral:rRNA from 1 species